GAUGAACGCUGGCGGCGUGCUUAACACAUGCAAGUCGAACGAAACACCUUAUUUGAUUUUCUUCGGAACUGAAGAUUUGGUGAUUGAGUGGCGGACGGGUGAGUAACGCGUGGGUAACCUGCCCUGUACAGGGGGAUAACAGUCAGAAAUGACUGCUAAUACCGCAUAAGACCACAGCACCGCAUGGUGCAGGGGUAAAAACUCCGGUGGUACAGGAUGGACCCGCGUCUGAUUAGCUGGUUGGUGAGGUAACGGCUCACCAAGGCGACGAUCAGUAGCCGGCUUGAGAGAGUGAACGGCCACAUUGGGACUGAGACACGGCCCAAACCCCUACGGGAGGCAGCAGUGGGGAAUAUUGCACAAUGGGGGAAACCCUGAUGCAGCGACGCCGCGUGAGUGAAGAAGUAUUUCGGUAUGUAAAGCUCUAUCAGCAGGGAAGAAAAUGACGGUACCUGACUAAGAAGCCCCGGCUAACUACGUG
rnacentral:rRNA from 1 species